rnacentral:rRNA from 1 species
UGGGGAAUCUUGGACAAUGGGCGCAAGCCUGAUCCAGCCAUGCCGCGUGGAUGAUGAAGGCCUUAGGGUUGUAAAAUCCUUUCGCCGAGGACGAUAAUGACGGUACUCGGAGAAGAAGCUCCGGCUAACUUCGUGCCAGCAGCCGCGGUAAUACGAAGGGGGCUAGCGUUGUUCGGAUUUACUGGGCGUAAAGCGCGUGUAGGCGGGUCGUUAAGUUGGGGGUGAAAUCCCGAGGCUCAACCUCGGAACUGCCUUCAAAACUGGCGACCUGGACCUAAGUAGAGGCAAGUGGAAUUGCGAGUGUAGAGGUGAAAUUCGUAGAUAUUCGCAGGAACACCAGUGGCGAAGGCGACUUGCUGGACUUAUGGUGACGCUGAGACGCGAAAGCGUGGGAGCAAACAGGAUUAGAUACCCGAGUAGUCCCUGAGCGGGCUGGCAAGGCGCAU